rnacentral:rRNA from 1 species
UACGAAGGGGGCUAGCGUUGCUCGGAAUUACUGGGCGUAAAGCGCACGUAGGCGGUCUUUUAAGUCGGGGGUGAAAUCCUGGAGCUCAACUCCAGAACUGCCUUCGAUACUGGAAGACUUGAGUCCGGGAGAGGUGAGUGGAACUGCGAGUGUAGAGGUGAAAUUCGUAGAUAUUCGCAAGAACACCAGUGGCGAAGGUGGCUCACUGGCCCGGUACUGACGCUGAGGUGCGAAAGCGUGGGGAGCAAACAGG